rnacentral:rRNA from 1 species
UACGGAAGGCAGCAGUGGGGAAUAUUGCACAAUGGGCGAAAGCCUGAUGCAGCUAUGCCGCGUGUAUGAAGAAGGCCUUAGGGUUGUAAAGUACUUUCAUCGGGGAGGAAAAAACAAAACUAAUAAUUUUAUUUCUUGACGUUACCCGAAAAAGAAGCACCGGCUAACUCCGUGCCAGCAGCCGCGGUAAUACGGAGGGUGCUAGCGUUAAUCAGAAUUACUGGGCGUAAAGAGCACGUAGGUGGUUUUUUUAAAGUCAGAUGUGAAAUCCCUGGGCUUAACCUAGGAACUGCAUUUUGAAACUGAAAUACUAGAGUAUCGUAGAGGGAGGUAGAAUUCUAGGUGUAGCGGUGAAAUGCGUAGAUAUCUGGAGGAAUACCUGUGGCGAAAGCGACCUCCUAAACGAAUACUGACACUGAGGGUGCGAAAGCGUGGGGAGCAAACAGGGAUUAGAUACC